AGUGAACGCUGGCGGUAGGCCUAACACAUGCAAGUCGAACGGCAGCACAGUAAGAGCUUGCUCUUACGGGUGGCGAGUGGCGGACGGGUGAGGUAUACAUCGGAAUCUACUUUUUCGUGGGGGAUAACGUAGGGAAACUUACGCUAAUACCGCAUACGACCUACGGGUGAAGGCAUGGGAUCUUCGGACCUUGCGCGAUUGAAUGAGCCGAUAUCGGAUUAGCUAGUUGGCGGGGUAAGGGCCCACCAAGGCGACGAUCCGUAGCUGGUCUGAGAGGAUGAUCAGCCACACUGGAACUGAGACACGGUCCAGACUCCUACGGGAGGCAGCAGUGGGGAAUAUUGGACAAUGGGCGCAAGCCUGAUCCAGCCAUACCGCGUGGGUGAAAAAGGCCUUCUGGUUGUAAAGCCGUUUUGUUGGAAAAGAAAAGCAGCAGGUUAAUACCCAGCUGUUCUGACGGUACCCAAAGAAUAAGCACCGGCUAACUUCGUG
rnacentral:rRNA from 1 species